GGUACGAAACGACGAGAAGUCACGACUUGAGUUGAGCAACUAUGAAUUGAUGAGCGAUUGAUUCCUGACAAAGGGCUCAAGGCCGAUCCUUUCCUUCCCGUCGUCAAAGUAAACGAUCCUCCGCCACCGUCACCGUCGGACGGCCUCUCGCUCUCUCAAUCUUCAGAGCCCCAACAAUGCCUUUCAGGAGAUUGAUAGAGGUGGAACCGCCGAGCCCACUGAGAUACGUGAUCGGAGCGGCCAUCAUGAUGAUCGGAGUAGUCUUACCCGUCGGUUACAUGAUGUUCCGUAACAAGCGUGUUCCUUCUUCCGCUUCCUACUCCAAACAGACGAACAAAGUUUUGAUAUAGAGAGAUACUGAGAUUCCAGGAAUUUCGGAUUCGAUUUUUCGUGUAAUUGAGUGGUGAAGUUGAAAAGCAGCAAAGGCUGGACCCGUCAUUUGCAAAUGACAUGCUUUUGUGGUUCCUUGUGUGUUCUGGUAUGCUUUUACAAGAUGCAGUUUGAAUUGGCUUAUUACUAAGAGAGUGGAUACAUUGAACUGUUUGAUGUAUAAGUGAUUUUUGGUUGAUGUAAAGUGGUGGGAUUGAGUGAGUAAUGAUAGGAAGAUCCACGAGAGAAGAUACAGUUUGGUAAUUCCGAGCAGCAAUAAGCAGUAGAUGACUCCAAUAAGUCGGGAUAAAAGUGUUAGCUGAGUUGAGUAUGAAGGUGGUGGGUGUGACACUACUAAUCUCACCAAUAAACUUGAAUGUAGUUUUGUUUGGAUUCGAUCAGCUGGUGGACUGAGAUGAGUAUCCUACUUGUGUGAAUACCCAGUUAUCGAUUGGUCAAAAUGAAGUUUUCUGAGUAGUAGUGGCAUUCAGCAAUUCUAGGUCUUGUCAUUGCUUUCAUGUUUUUGGUUUUCGUCUGAAAUGCUGGAAGAGUUUAUUAGAAUAAGUUGAAUGGUUCUUGUGAGUUGUAUAUUCUAUGCUGGAGAAGAAGAGGGAGAGAGACCAAAAUAAAAUGCAUGUUGCGGUUCUUGUGGUUGUCUAUUUUAUCAUCUUCUUCUGGUUCAGUUUAGCUGCAAGACAUGCCUGUAAGAAUUGAUGGUUUUAAGUUUUUGCUGGUAGUUAACCCAAAUUGGGAGAAGUAUGAAUUGGUUGUUAAACAGGACUGGGAGGAAUUGUAAGAACAAUGUUUGCAUUGUUUCUUAAGGUUUGAAAAUAUGUUGGUCCGUUAUUUA